CACUUGUCAAAACGCACGUGCACAUUGACCCACGUAUAAACCCUCGCUUUUUUUCCUGUUUGCCAUUUGCUAGCCUAAUCUCUCUCAGCUCUCGCUCCCUUGAAAACAAGUAUUCACAAUUUGCACUCAAUAACACAGUAAACCCUGUUCCAAAUUCAAUUAGUGAGGAGUUUUGAAAAAUUCCAGCAUCUCGGCAUUUUCCUGGACAGACACAUUGGAGCUGAAAUUGCAGAUUGAGAAGAUGCUUGGGUAUCUAAGAGACCAGAAGUACGUUGACCUUCUCACAAAGUUUCUGAGUCUUAAGGUUAACAAAUCUGAUUUUGAUAGACUCUGCACUGGUACAGUAGGGAGAGAAAAUGUACUACUUCAUAACCUCCUCCUCAGAUCAAUUAUAAAAGAGGCACAAUUCUUCAAGACUCUCCCGACGAAGGAGAGCAAAGCAAAAGGUGAUCUAAGUGGCAAAGUGCCUAAUAGGUAUAAAAAGGUAGCCUUCAAUCCCUAUGUAGCGAUUUUCUCCAAUCUCCUUGUACAGGGAGGUCAAUUCUUAGUGCAUGCAAGUUUAGGGAUCACCAUAGCACUCUUGGCCCUCAUGAGAAGAGCCACACUACUGCAUUUGAAGAUUCAGUCCCUAAAAACCAAGAACAGAGUACUACUGAGCUGCUUUCUAUGUGCAGUAGACCCCCAUGCUCUGUGGAAGAUGGAGAAGAGGAUGAUCAGGCUGCUGGAAGCCCCAACAUUUGUAGUAGGAGCCCCAUUAGAGCUCCUCUUGGUAUCUCCUUUAAUGCUAAAGGGGCAUGAGAAGUGCUUUAUAAUGACUUAGCAUCUUCUUAUUACAUGGGGACAUGUCAGAAAAGCGGUGAAUUACCUGAUUCCAAUUCUUCAAGGAAGAGGUUGGAGCAUAAGUUGGAGAUGGAAGGAAUAAAAGUUUCAGUUGAUUGUGCCAAUUUGUUAAAUAACAGCUUGGAUGUUUACUUGAAGGGAUUGAUGAAUCCCUGUAUAGGUCUAGCUGGAGGGAAACGUGCAGGCCAAGGACAGAUUCAAUCCGUAUCUGGUUUGAAAGGUGUAUGGCCUGUGAGAUAUAUUAAAAAACUAGGGGGUCCAUUGCAGUGUCCAUGUUAGAUUUUCAGCUUGCAGUAGAACUAAACCCUCAGACCCUUGAAGAAGAGUGGCCAACUCAACUAGAGAAGGUUUUAUUUCAUGCAUCAGAAGAAUGAACAAGAAUAUUAAUGCAAGAUUUGGUGGGAUGGGAAGUUUAGGUUCCAAGAUAUUGUGAGUUAAUAGUAUUACAAGAUUUGGUGGGAUGAAGUUGAUCAGACUGUACGUAGGCCUUUGGACUCAUUAUCUCCAGGGUGUGACAUGGUAGAGUGUGAAUACAUUGACAUUGUAAGAAUAUACUGGUGCCAAAUUGGUCAGUUUCCUCCUCCAACUGACCCUAUAGUUUGUUUGUUCAAUUUAUUAUAUUUGUGAAUAAAGCUUACAUUUCCAA